AUUUAAAAUGUAAAUCCUAGUCAUCUGCAAAAUAUUUCUCAAUCUCAGAGCCUCAUGAACCAUGGGAGGGACACGGGAAGGAGAAAACAAACUGCUACCCUUUUGAAAACAAGAGUUUCAUCUGAGCAUGGGAGAUGAGCUGUAACUUCUCAUCUUGGAAGAAGAUGGAAAACCUUCUGCACUAAUAGGCAGCUAGGAUCUGGCAUUCCAUUCCGUUUCAGCCAAGCACUCUCACACCAGUCCUCUUGGUGUGAAUAAUGCCUCAUUUUAGUCUCUCCAUGGCUCUCUUGUUCCCUGCAUAGAAUACUUGGACAUGGAACAGCAAGCAGGGAUGAGCCCACAUUUCCACGAGGUGAGAGCUUCAGUGUCACUGCUGUGUGCAGGAGGGGACUAUGGGAUGGAGCUGGAGAAGAAGCACAGCGUCACUGCAUAGCAUCCAGUGACCUGAGUGGGGACAGUGGAACAGCAGAGCAGUGUGUGAACUGUGAGCCCCAGAAACAGGAAACAAUAGAGAAGAACCCGGUGUGA
rnacentral:lncRNA from 1 species